rnacentral:rRNA from 1 species
UGAGGAAUUUUGCGCAAUGGGGGAAACCCUGACGCAGCAACGUCGCGUGAGUGAAGAAGGCUUUCGGGUCGUAAAGCUCUGUCAGGCGGGAAGAACCCUCCCGGAGAUAAUACCUUCGGGAGCUGACGGUACCGCCGGAGGAAGCACCGGCUAACUCCGUGCCAGCAGCCGCGGUAAUACGGAGGGUGCGAGCGUUAUUCGGAAUCAUUGGGUGUAAAGCGCGUGCAGGCGGCUUGGUUAGUCAGAUGUGAAAGCUCCGGGCUUAACUCGGAAAGUGCAUUUGAAACUGCCAGGCUUGAGUCCCGGAGAGGAAGGUGGAAUUCCCAGUGUAGAGGUGAAAUUCGUAGAUAUUGGGAGGAACACCGGUGGCGAAGGCGACCUUCUGGACGGAGACUGACGCUGAGACGCGAAAGCGUGGGGAGCAAACA